GCCUAAUAAUGAUGGGUAAAAGCUGGUGAUAAGAUGUAGGGAGAGUUCCACAAUUCUUUUGGAGCUUUGGAAGUGGAACUGAUUCUAUAUAGCCAUCAUUGAAACAAUGGAAUCAAAAUUAAGCUCCACAAUCCAGUCAUUCCAGAGAAGAAGUCAUAACAUAGGUUGCCAUGGAUAUAACAAGAUGGGCCAGAGAGGAGAGGAUUGGAGACUUGGAAACUGAGAGAGCACACUUCUUGGGGCCACACGGUGAUCUGGAGUGGCCCAGAGAUAUUGAUUCCAAAAUCUUAGCAUCUGCUUCUGGAGAAGCUGGUCUGUGCCAGAGGCUGGAGCUUCUUUUUACUCCUAAAUAUCUAGGCUGUAAUCAUGAAUACUGCAUUCUCUCUUUGAUUGUAAGUUCUUUGUGAGCAAGAACUAUAUAGAGACUUCUAUAUCUACGCCACAGUUUCUACUGUUGUGCCAUGGACAAAGAAGACAGCUGUUAAACAUGUUAUGAAUGAAAUGAUGUGUUUUUUAUUCAGGUGGACAGCAUGCUUCUCUUUUUGAAACCCGUCUAUACUGAGGAAGUGGUCACAAAUUAAGAGAGCCAUGUUGGAACACUGAAAUUUCUGCCAGUCCUUUCAGCUUUUUUAUUGAGUCUCUCAGUGUCCUCUUACUCUGGAAAUUUUCAGGAUGUAGUUUCCGCUUCCUUCCCUUUUUCCUUCUGUCUGGGUCCAAAGCUAACACUGACGUCCAGCAUUCUUCCACCUAUAUCCUUCCACAUUCUUCCAUGAUAGCUGAAAUGAUAUUUUUCUUUAUGAAUUGUUAUGCACAGCAAAAUUUUUGGCUAAUGCAUUCAAGAAUUGUGAAUGCCGUUUUCCCCUUAAAUAGGUCCCUUUAGACAAAUAACUGCCAAGCAUUUUUCCUGUGAAUAUGUAAAUAGGUUAAAAAUGAAGAUGCAGCCAGUGUUGUGUGAAUAUUAUUCCAACAUUACACUUAAGAUCCUUUCAGCCCCAUUUGCUAACAUUUUGUACUCCCAGCCAAAGUGCCAAAAAUUGCUCUCUCCUCAUGCAAUUUUCAAAAAUUUUGCUGGCACAAAAUGAAGUAAAAUCUCUAUCUGCAGGAGAGAGCAAACUUCAUUUAGUGUGUUUUACAAAGUGCUAAAUAGGUUUUCUAUUUUGGGAGUAGAGUGGCAGAACGUGUGCUUCCUGCUAUCCUGAUCAAACAUUUGCAAUUCCGUCCCUGCAUAGAUCACACAUUCCAGGUUGGCUUUGGAUUUAUUAACAUUAUACUUGUUAUUUUAUUCAAAAGAAAAGAAAAACAAUUACAAUGUGUUCAAGGGAUGUGAUGUCAGUACUGGAAAGUUAUUUUUCCUUGCUGUUAAUUUUUUUCCCCAUUAUUUAAAAUAAAAUAGUGGUUACAGUCCUUACAAGAGGCUUUUCAACGGAUUUCAACUGAAUUCAAAUGAUUUCAAAAUUAGAGCUCUUAUUUCCUAUUUUCUGGUACAUCCUCCAAAAGAAAAAAAAAAAAGUGUCAUGGUCUCACUGCUGAUAAAUUUAGGAUCCUGGAUCCCCAGCUUUAUUUCAAGUAGUCCAUCAAAUCGGUAUCUGGCAGAAACCAUACAUGACUAAAUAGUCACAGAAUAUU